CCUACGGGAGGUUGCAGUGGGGAAUAUUGGGCAAUGGGCGCAAGCCUGACCCAGCAACGCCGCGUGAAGGAAGAAGUCUUUCGGGUUGUAAACUUCUUUUAAUAGGGAAGAGCAGAACACGGUACCUCUUGAAUAAGCCACGGCUAACUACGUGCCAGCAGCCGCUGUAAUGCGUAGGUCGCAAGCGUUGUCCGGAUUUACUGGGUGUAAAGGGCGUGCAGCCGGGAAGACAAGUCAGAUGUGAAAGCCCGCGGCUCAACCGCGGAACUGCAUUUGAAACUGUUUUUCUUGAGUACCGGAGAGGUCAUCGGAAUUCCUUGUGUAGCGGUGAAAUGCGUAGAUAUAAGGAAGAACACCAGUGGCGAAGGCGGAUGACUGGACGGCAACUGACGGUGAGGCGCGAAAGCGUGGGGAGCAAACAGGAUUAGAUACCCGUGUAGUC
rnacentral:rRNA from 1 species